rnacentral:rRNA from 1 species
UGGGGAAUCUUGCACAAUGGGGGCAACCCUGAUGCAGCGACGCCGCGUGAGCGAUGAAGCCCUUCGGGGCGUAAAGCUCUUUCGACCGGAACGAUAAUGACGGUACCGGGUGAAGAAGCUGCGGCUAACUACGUGCCAGCAGCCGCGGUAAUACGUAGGCAGCAAGCGUUGUUCGGAGUUACUGGGCGUAAAGAGUGCGUAGGCGGUUUUCUAAGUUCGGUGUGAAAUCUCCCGGCUUAACUGGGAGGGUGCGCCGAAGACUGGGAAGCUGGAGUGUGGGAAAGGCAGGCGGAAUUCCUGGUGUAGCGGUGAAAUGCGUAGAUAUCAGGAGGAACACCGGCGGUGUAGACGGCUUGCUAAACCAUAACUGACGCUGAGGCACGAAAGCGUGGGUAGCAAACA